AAUUAAGUGAAUUUUAUUUACAUACAGUGCCUGAAACAAGUGUUCACGUGGUGAUUUAUUUUAAAUAUUCACAAGGUUUUUUUGUUAUUUUUCU